AUGUUUCCAGGAAAAAAAUCUCAACUACAAAGCCACUUUCAAGGUGAUGCUGCAUUUCCAACAGCACUCUCCGUAUCUGAGUGGAUGGCCCAGAGCAAUGGUGCUUCCAACCGACAGAGCCCCUCCACAGGUCCCUUACCAUCUGCAGACACCCAUAUCUCAAGGAACAGCUGCAUUGCUGGAGUGGGGGCUGCUGUACUGUGGAGGAGAGAGGGGAGCUGUCAAUCAACCACCAUUGCAGGCUCUGGGGCGCCCGACUGGCGACAGAGAUGGUAUGGUAAGAGGUUGGUGGGACUGCUGAGGUGCCCAGCACCAGAGGGGCUCAGCACAGAGGGGUCCAGGCUGGGUCUGUCCCCCCAGGACAGAGACGCAGUUUGGGUCUAGGUGGGAGUCUGUCCAUCAGCCUUGAGCUUGUGGCUGGGGAUGGCUGAGAUUUGACUGUUGUUUCUUCGCAGUCUUGAGAUUUGGGAGUAGAUUUUUAAUAUAAGCGGGUCUAGAGACAAGAAGUUUUCAAGAGUUUCAGAAAAAGGAGUCAGCCGGGCACAGUGGCUCAUGCGUAUAAUCCCAGCACUUUGGGAGGCCAAAGAGGGCAAAUGGCUUGAGCUCAUAAGUUCUAGAUCAGACAGGGCAACCUGGCAAGACCCUGUCUCUACAAAAAAUACAAAAAUUAGCCAGGCAUGGUGGCGGGUGCCUGUAGUCCUAGCUACUCAGGAGGCUGAGGCAGGAGAAUCACUUGAACCUGGGAGGCAGAGGUUGCAGUGAGCCAAGAUCACGACACUGCACUCCAGCCUGGGUGAUGGAACCAGACCUUAUCUCAAAAAAAAAAAAAGAAAAGAAAGAAAAGAACAAAGGAGCCAGGAGGCCCUAGCUAGAGCCCAGGGCAGAAACCCUCGGCUGGUAGCUCAGACCUCAAGCUGGGUUGUGAGGACUGUAGCCCUGGUUAGGGGAGUGGAGCCCAAGGAGGGCUGGCCAUCCUCAGUGGAAGUUAGAGGGAGGAGAAGGGGACGUACUGGUGUGAUGGACAAGAGGAGGGUGUCCUAGAGGAGGGAGGGUGGCUGGCCGUCGAGACUGGACCUGAGUCUGGGCUUCUCACUCAUCAUUGAGGCCCAGAUUGUUUCACAGAAGAGGAGCCUGCUCACCAGCUC
rnacentral:lncRNA from 1 species